rnacentral:pre_miRNA from 1 species
AGACACCCUUCUGGGGAAAGGCUUGCUUCAGUGGGGCUUUGGUGCUCACUGAGUCUUCCCCCUGAGUGUGUCCCU